UACGUAGGGUGCAAGCGUUGUCCGGAAUUAUUGGGCGUAAAGAGCUCGUAGGCGGCUUGUCGCGUCGAAUGUGAAAACCUGCAGCUCAACUGCAGGCUUGCAUUCGAUACGGGCAGGCUCGAGUUCGGUAGGGGAGACUGGAAUUCCUGGUGUAGCGGUGAAAUGCGCAGAUAUCAGGAGGAACACCAAUAGCGAAGGCAGCUCGCUGGGACGUUACUGACACUAAGGCGCGAAAGCGUGGGGAGCGAACAGG
rnacentral:rRNA from 1 species